rnacentral:rRNA from 1 species
GACGAACGCUGGCGGCGUGCUUAACACAUGCAAGUCGAACGGAAAGGCCCUGCUUGCAGGGUUCUCGAGUGGCGAACGGGUGAGUAACACGUGGGUGAUCUGCCCUGCACUUCGGGAUAAGCCUGGGAAACUGGGUCUAAUACCGGAUAGGAGCCAUUUUUAGUGUGAUGGUUGGAAAGUUUUUUCGGUGUAGGAUGAGCUCGCGGCCUAUCAGCUUGUUGGUGGGGUAAUGGCCUACCAAGGCGGCGACGGGUAGCCGGCCUGAGAGGGUGGACGGCCACAUUGGGACUGAGAUACGGCCCAGACUCCUACGGGAGGCAGCAGGGGGGAAGAUUGCACAAUGGGCGCAAGCCUGAUGCAGCGACGCCGCGUGGGGGAUGACGGCCUUCGGGUUGGAAACUCCUUUCGCUAGGGACGAAGCUUUUUGUGACGGUACCUAGAUAAGAAGCACCGGCUAACUACGUG